GCAAACUCAGACUGGUUCUUAAAUGAGAGGGAAGUAGUCACAUGAGAAGAUAAGAAUUCUUUAUGGGGAGAUUACACUUCCAGUGGAGGCUUCGAGACUGCUUUGAGAAUAAGGCUGAGCUAGCUCAUCUCCGAGGAAAGAGCAGCUACUUGGCACAUGCCAUGGGUUUAGCUGGUGUUGGGAAUCGGAAGUUGGGAUCUGUGCUUCCUCUGUGACCAAUCUACAGCCUCUCUGGAGGCUUGGGGAGCAUGCCCUUCCCUCCAGAGGCACUGCCAAAGCUAGUUCAUUCUUUUCCAUGCUUUGGCUCGACCUCCGGAGGGUUCAAAAGUAAGUUUACAAAGCUUGGCUGAGAUACUAAGUCUGCGGUGAGUCCCUGACUCAGGAAGAACUCAGGCCUCCUGCCUUAGUGUCUGGUCACAGUGUCAAGGCUGGUUAGUUACCCACGGAAUGACUGAGCCGGAGAGUCAAUGGAUGGAGUGAUGGAUGAAUGGAGAAGGUACAGAUGGUGACAGCAAUGGCUAUUACAGGAGAUGCUCGCCAACUUAAGGACUUGUAAGCCGCUCACUUCGUGGGAGAGAGACAGAGAGAGGCUCUGACGCUUCAUAUUGAUUGCCAGCUUGACAGCACGUACAAUCAUCUGGGAUGUGAGUCUCUAGGCAUGCCUCUUAGGGAGUUUCCCGAUUAGGUUAAUGGAGGUGGGUGGGGAAUAGUUCACCCUAAAUGUGAGUGGUACCAUUCCAUGGGAAGAGAUCCCAGGCUGAAUAAAAAGAAUGCAAGCUCAACACCAAUAUUAACCUCUCCUUGAUUCCUGACUACAGAGGCAAAGUGACCAACUGCCUCCCUGCCAUGAUGGAUUUUGCAAUCAAACUGUGAACCAAAAUCAACACUUCCUUCAGUUGCUUUUCCUAUGUGUUUUCUGACAGCCAUGAGAAAAGUGUUAAUACAGGUACCUGGGACAAGAUACAGCACCCAAGGACAUAUCCUUGGGGAUCUUCUUGCUGUACCUAGAUGUGGAAGUUUCCAUUGCCUCCCAAUGCUGUCACAUCAUGAGUCCAUCAAGGGAAAAAUCCAUGGAUUAGGUCACACAGCGUCCCCACUCCCUUAAAACAGGAAUCUCUCUUUCAAUGACUGGAUCUACCAACUGGAACCAAUCCCAACUCUUUUUUUUUUCCUGAGAGCAUCUCCUAUUCAGACCAUCUUAGAACCUCUCAGCUUCGAUAACCGUGUGGGCCAACCUCCUCCCUACCCCUACCCCUGCCUUUUUCCCUACACACCAGCCUUGAUUGGAAAAUUAGUACCAGGAAAAGGAAAGAGACGAAACAAUUAUCUCCAUUACGGCUCCUGUACCUCUCCACAAAUGCCUUUACCUUUCACCUCAUUAAAACUUAAUCGACAUACAAUAAACUGAACAUAUUUAAAGUGUAUCAUAUGAUGAGUUUUGACAUAUGUGUGUUCAAGAUAAUGAGCAUAUCCAUCAUCCCCCAAAGUUUCUUUGUGCCCUCCCCCUUUGAAAUCCUUGGCUCCUGCUCCCCGCCCCCAGUCCCUAGGCAACCAGAUCUGCUUUCUGUCACUACGGGCUCAUUUGCAUUUCCUACAAUUAUAUAAAUGGAAGCAUCCAGUAUUAUGCGCUGUUUGCUUGUCUUCUUUCACUCAGCAUAAUUAUUUUGAGCUCCAUCUGUGUCGUAGUAUGUAUCGAUAGUUCACUCCUUCUCACUUGAUGAUAUUUUGUUACAUGAAUAUCCUGCGAUUUGUUUAUCCGUUCACCAGUUGAUGGACCCAUGAUAUUUCCAGGCUUUUUUUUUCCUUUACUAUUCUAAUUCAUGUUGCUAAGAGCAUUUAGGUGAAAGUCUAGACCUGCCUAUUCUGUCCCUCUUCCUGGGUACACUCCUAAAAGAGGAAUGGUUGGAUCACAUUCUAGGUAGUUGUUUAACUUUUUGAAAAGGUGCCAUACUGCCUUCUAAAUUAGUCGUACCAUUUUACAUUACCCAGCAGUGUAUGAGGAUUCCAAUUGAUUCACAGUCUUGGCAGCACUUGGUACGUUCAGGCUGCUUAACUUUAGCCAUUCCAAGAGAUGCACACCAAUAUGCCUGGUAGUAUCCAUUUGCAUUUCCCUAAUGAAGAGCGAUGUUAAAUAUCUGUCAUAUGCUUCUUUUUUGUGUGAUGUACCUUCUAUGGUAAAGCCAGAUUUCUUAAAACUCAAUUUAAAAUUAAAUUGUUUAUGCUCUUA